CCUCGGGUGGCUGCAGUGGGGAAUAUUGCACAAUGGGCGCAAGCCUGAUGCAGCCAUGCCGCGUGUGUGAAGAAGGCCUUCGGGUUGUAAAGCACUUUCAGCGGGGAGGAAGGCGUUAAGGUUAAUAACCUUGUCGAUUGACGUUACCCGCAGAAGAAGCACCGGCUAACUCCGUGCCAGCAGCCGCGGGAAUACGGAGGGUGCAAGCGUUAAUCGGAAUUACUGGGCGUAAAGCGCACGCAGGCGGUCUGUCAAGUCGGAUGUGAAAUCCCCGGGCUCAACCUGGGAACUGCAUUCGAAACUGGCAGGCUAGAGUCUUGUAGAGGGGGGUAGAAUUCCAGGUGUAGCGGUGAAAUGCGUAGAGAUCUGGAGGAAUACCGGUGGCGAAGGCGGCCCCCUGGACAAAGACUGACGCUCAGGUGCGAAAGCGUGGGGAGCAAACAGGAUUAGAUACCCUAGUAGUC
rnacentral:rRNA from 1 species